UGGUAGGUGGGGACUAACGUUUACGAAAGGAACGACUAAUACCGCAUACGCUACGGGAGAAAGCAGGGGACCUUCGGGCCUUGCGCUAUCAGAUGAGCCUAGGUCGGAUUAGCUAGUUGGUGAGGUAAUGGCUCACCAAGGCGACGAUCCGUAACUGGUCUGAGAGGAUGAUCAGUCACACUGGAACUGAGACACGGUCCAGACUCCUACGGGAGGCAGCAGGC
rnacentral:rRNA from 1 species